UACGUAGGGGGCAAGCGUUGUCCGGAUUUAUUGGGCGUAAAGAGCGUGUAGGCGGCCCCUUAAGUCCUGCGUGAAAUCCUGCGGCUCAACCGCAGACGGUCGUGGGAAACUGGAGGGCUAGAGUGCGGGAGAGGAGAGUGGAAUUCCCGGUGUAGCGGUGAAAUGCGCAGAUAUCUGGAGGAAUACCGAUGGCGAAGGCAGAUCUCUGGGCCGUAACUGACGCUGAGGAGCGAAAGCGUGGGGAGCGAACAGG
rnacentral:rRNA from 1 species